ensembl:misc_RNA 7SK 7SK RNA
GGAAAUUUCUGGGACACAGAACCUAUUGAAACAUCUGGGUGAAUAUUGUCCCCUUCCUCCCUCACCAUUCCCUGUGAUGUGCACUCAGUCAAAGAGGAUGACUGGAGAACUGGUCUUUGGUCAUGGGUAUUUGAGUAGCUGCGCUCCCCUGCUAGAACUUCCAAACAAGCUCUUGGGCAGGGCGGUACACAUCUGUAUUUCCAGCUUUUGGUAAGCAGGGGCAGUAGGGUCAUGAAUGGAAGGCCAGCCAGUCCU